UGGGGAAUAUUGGACAAUGGGCGCAAGCCUGAUCCAGCAAUGCCGCGUGUGUGAAGAAGGCCUUGGGGUUGUAAAGCACUUUUGUUCGGGAAGCGGUACCGAAAGAAUAAGCACCGGCUAACUUCGUGCCAGCAGCCGCGGUAAUACGAAGGGUGCAAGCGUUAAUCGGAAUUACUGGGCGUAAAGCGUGCGUAGGCGGUUUGUUAAGUCAGAUGUAAAGCCCCGGGCUCAACCUGGGAACUGCAUUUGAUACUGGCAGGCUAGAGUACGGUAGAGGGUGGUGGAAUUCCCGGUGUAGCGGUGAAAUGCGUAGAGAUCGGGAGGAACAUCCGUGGCGAAGGCGGCCACCUGGACCAGUACUGACGCUGAGGCACGAAAGCGUGGGGAGCAAACAGGAUUAGAUACCCCAGUAGU
rnacentral:rRNA from 1 species